UCUCCGUUGGUGAACCAGCGGAGGGAUCAUUAUCGUCGGGCUUCGCAGCCCUGUCGAGAUAGCACCCUUUGUCCUUUUGGCGCACUUGUCUUGUUUCCUCGGGCUGGCACCCCCAGCCCACGAGGACCAACAAUCAAACCUUUUGCAGUUUCUGUCACAGUCUGAUCUAAACAAAAUCGUAACAACUUUCAACAAUGGAUCUCUUGGUUCUGGCAUCGAUGAAGAACGCAGC
rnacentral:misc_RNA from 1 species